UAGCCAUUCAUUCGGGUACAAUAAACGGUCAGAUGUAGUCUGAUUUCAUUUUUUUAUUUAUUAAUUUUACCUUAUUUAUUGAACAAGAUUUUACAGAAGGGCAAAUUUGUAAGUUACCUUAUGAAUUUAAUCUCUCUCAUGCCAACUCCCAUCAAUCACGGGAUUUAUUAUCUAGAGGAUUCAAGGAUUCAAAGAAUCAAAAGUAAUCCAGAGGAUUGACGGUGGAAAUUUCAAUUUAUUUUUCAAGAAUUGUUCACCAGAAUCUGUCCUCUCCUUUCUCUGCUUUUUUUUUUUUCCUAUCAUUGGAGUUCAUUCGGAAGCCAUUUUUCAACAAGUUAUUCGAUGUUUUUUUUUUUUACGAACUGUGAGGAUGUUAAUUCUGAGAUAUUCUAAAGAAGAAAGGAAAGGUGUUGGUUUCUGAUUUUCCUGCUUGGAGUUGUCGCGUGAGUGGCUGUUGCUCGGAGCCGUCGAAGUGAAUGAUCGUCUGAUCUUAUAUAUAUUAGCAAAAGGGGCAUGGGUUGGAGCCACCGGGCAUGUAUAAGGUUUUCUACCAUGUAUGCCAUUGAAAUUGAGAACAAAGAUGUCAAGCUCUUCAACUGUGUUCACGUCUAUGUGCGUUUACAAUUGUAAAACACAUGAGUAUUAAUUAAGUGAUUAUUAUUGAUCCUAUAUAUGAUUUGAUGGUUUUGUUAGCGUAUGAAUUCAAAAUUGUGAUUAGUGGUUACAUAUUA